rnacentral:rRNA from 1 species
GACGAACGCUGGCGGCGUGCCUAAUACAUGCAAGUAGAACGCGGAAGUAGGAGCUUGCUUCUCUGGAUGAGUUGCGAACGGGUGAGUAACGAGUAGGUAACCUGCCUAGUAGCGGGGGAUAACUAUUGGAAACGAUAACUAAUACCGCAUAAUAUUGACUAUUACAUGAUACUCAGUUGAAAGGUGUAACUGCACCACUACCAGAUGGACCUUCGUUGUAUGAGCGGGUUGGGGGGGUAACGACUCACCAAGGCGAGUGUACAUAGCCGACCAGAGAGGGGGAACGGCCACGGUGGGACUGAGAGAAGGCCCACACUCCUACGGGGGGAAGCAGUAGGGAACCGUCGGCAAUGGAAGGGAGUAUGACCGAGCAACGCCGCGAGAGUGAAGACAGUUUUCGGAUCGUAAAGCUCUGUUGUAAGGGAAGAACGAGUGUGAGCGUGGAAAGCUCACACUGUGACGGUAUCUUACCAGAAAGGGACGGCUAACUACGUG